rnacentral:rRNA from 1 species
CUAUGUCGGCGACCGGCGCACGGGUGCGUAACGCGUAUGGCAACCUACCCAUUACAGGGGGAUAACACUGAGAAAUCGGUACUAAUACCCCAUAACAUCCAGGGAGGCAUCUUCUUGGGUUAGAAAACUCCGGUGGUAAUGGAUGGGCAUGCGUUGUAUUAGUUAGUUGGUGGGGUAACGGCUCACCAAGACAACGAUACAUAGGGGGACUGAGAGGUUAACCCCCCACAUUGGUACUGAGACACGGACCAAACUCCUACGGAAGGCAGCAG